rnacentral:tRNA from 1 species
GGGGUUAUCACUGACAGGUAGAGCAUGUGCUUCGCAGGCAUGAGGUCCUGGAUUCAAACUCCAGUACCUUCA